rnacentral:rRNA from 1 species
UGGUGGAGUGAUUUGUCUGGUUAAUUCCGUUAACGAACGAGACCUCAGCCUGCUAAAUAGUCACGCGAAUAUUUAUUCGCGGCCGGCUUCUUAGAGGGACUAUUUGUGUUUAACGAAUGGAAGUUUGAGGCAAUAACA